UACGUAGGGGGCAAGCGUUAUCCGGAUUUACUGGGUGUAAAGGGAGCGUAGACGGCAGCGCAAGUCUGGAGUGAAAUGCCGGGGCUCAACCCCGGAACUGCUUUGGAAACUGUGCAGCUAGAGUGCGGGAGAGGUAAGCGGAAUUCCUAGUGUAGCGGUGAAAUGCGUAGAUAUUAGGAGGAACACCAGUGGCGAAGGCGGCUUACUGGACCGCAACUGACGUUGAGGCUCGAAAGCGUGGGGAGCAAACAGG
rnacentral:rRNA from 1 species